AACGCGAAGAACCUUACCAGGGUUUGACAUGGCGGUGGUAGGGAGGCGAAAGCCGACCGACUCUUCGGAGAGCCGUCACAGGUGCUGCAUGGCUGUCGUCAGCUCGUGCCGUGAGGUGUUAGGUUAAGUCCUGUAACGAGCGCAACCCACGUCGUUAGUUACAUGUGUCUAACGAGACUGCCGGUGAUAAGCCGGAUGAAGGUGGGGAUGACGUCAAGUCAGCAUGGCCUUUAUGUCCUGGGCUACACACACGCUACAAUGGCCAGUACAAUGGGUUGCCAAGCCGCGAGGCGGAGCCAAUCCCCCAAAGCUGGUCUCAGUUCGGAUUGUAGGCUGCAACUCGCCUGCAUGAAGUCGGAGUUGCUAGUAACCGCGCGUCAGCAACAGUGCGGUGAAUACGUUCCCGGGUCUUGUACACACCG
rnacentral:rRNA from 1 species